GCGAACGCUGGCGGCAGGCUUAACACAUGCAAGUCGAACGGGCACUUCGGUGUCAGUGGCAGACGGGUGAGUAACACGUGGGAACGUACCCUUCGGUUCGGAACAACUCAGGGAAACUUGAGCUAAUACCGGAUACGCCCUUACGGGGAAAGGUUUACUGCCGAAGGAUCGGCCCGCGUCUGAUUAGCUAGUUGGUGAGGUAAUGGCUCACCAAGGCGACGAUCAGUAGCUGGUCUGAGAGGAUGAUCAGCCACACUGGGACUGAGACACGGCCCAGACUCCUACGGGAGGCAGCAGUGGGGAAUAUUGGACAAUGGGCGAAAGCCUGAUCCAGCCAUGCCGCGUGAGUGAUGAAGGCCUUAGGGUUGUAAAGCUCUUUCGACGGGGACGAUAAUGACGGUACCCGUAGAAGAAGCCCCGGCUAACUUCGU
rnacentral:rRNA from 1 species